rnacentral:rRNA from 1 species
GAUGAACGCUGGCGGCGUGCCUAAUACAUGCAAGUCGAGCGAACAGACGAGGAGCUUGCUCCUCUGACGUUAGCGGCGGACGGGUGAGUAACACGUGGAUAACCUACCUAUAAGACUGGGAUAACUUCGGGAAACCGGAGCUAAUACCGGAUAAUAUAUUGAACCGCAUGGUUCAAUAGUGAAAGACGGUUUUGCUGUCACUUAUAGAUGGAUCCGCGCCGCAUUAGCUAGUUGGUAAGGUAACGGCUUACCAAGGCAACGAUGCGUAGCCGACCUGAGAGGGUGAUCGGCCACACUGGAACUGAGACACGGUCCAGACUCCUACGGGAGGCAGCAGUAGGGAAUCUUCCGCAAUGGGCGAAAGCCUGACGGAGCAACGCCGCGUGAGUGAUGAAGGUCUUCGGAUCGUAAAACUCUUUUAUUGGGGAAGAACAAAUGUGUAAGUAACUAUGCACGUCUUGACGGUACCUAAUCAGAAAGCCACGGCUAACUACGUG